AUCCUUUUGUGGACCAUGAGCGUGAUGACUGAGCAUUCAUGCUGUUGUGAGAUGUGUCUCUCCCAAACCUUGUUACCUCCUCAGCACAUUACCUGUCUGAUG
rnacentral:snoRNA from 1 species